AGGAGGAGGAAGGCUGAAAAGGCCGAUUUCAGCGGGCCCGUGCCGAGCUCCGCCAGAGUCUCACUCAGACGCCUCGCAAGCCUCUGGCGCUGCUGGUGCUGCCCCUGUUCCGGCGACGGGGCCACGCACGCCUGCCGGUGGUGGUGGUGUACAUGGCAGCAGCGGCGGCACGUGCGAAGUACGUUCGGAGAUAGUGGUUUGAAAUGUGUAAUGAUGAUAAUCCUGUCUGACUCGACACAGGGAUGAGCUUUAUCCGCCCGCGCACAAACCCUAACCCUCUGCUUUUACCCACCCACUCACAUCCACGAUAUCCAGUCGUACUUUCCUGUAUGUCUGUUUCAAUGUCUAUCUAGUCAGCAGUCAUCCAUAUACACGUUCUAUUGAAUGCAUGUAUAUUGUUUCGCGUAUUCAUAGACCCGCCCAUUAUUGCCCGCUCAGGAUGGCCUCCAGACUUCAGCUACAGCCGCUACGGCCGCGGUCGCUACCGCCGAUAAUCCGCAGCUGGCCGAGGCGCUGUUGCUGCACGCGGGCUUGGG
rnacentral:lncRNA from 1 species